rnacentral:rRNA from 1 species
UACGUAGGGUGCGAGCGUUGUCCGGAAUUAUUGGGCGUAAAGAGCUCGUAGGUGGCGGGUCACGUCGGGUGUGAAAGCCCGGGGCUUAACUCCGGGUCUGCAUUCGAUACGGGUCUGCUGGGGUCCGGCAGGGGAGACUGGAAUUCCUGGUGUAGCGGUGAAAUGCGCAGAUAUCAGGAGGAACACCGGUGGCGAAGGCGGGUCUCUGGGCCUGUUCUGACGCUGAGGAGCGAAAGCGUGGGGAGCGAACAGG